AAAAAAUCUGGCAUGUAGCCUUUCUCCCAGUACCUGUUGGAGAGCUCUUCUUUUUUGUUCCCAUUUCCUCUACAGUAAGGAACGGGGAAGAACAUAAAUAUAGCUCUCUUGCCCAUACAAUACACCUAUCUCCCUUGAAAUCACACUAGCUUCGAUGUGUGCUUAGCACUAGACCAUCCCACAAGCUGCUGGGAGUGCCGUGUGAUUGCUCCUCAUAUCUGACGCCGGGGCUGAUGAGUCCCAUGAUUGCUGGAGCACAGAAAUGUCAGAGACGGCAUCUCUGCUGUGGCUUUUGCCAGCGAUGACCCUUGGAACAGCUGAUGCCUGGAAGAAGGAGAUGUGAGACAACUGUCCGGGUCUGGGGAUGUGAAUGGCUUUUCUAUCGCACGGUGUUGUGGAAAUGUCAGCUGUAAUUGAAACUUAAUCUUCUAACAAGUUUCAGCUAGCUGCUAUUUGCAGACAAUGUGAAUGUUGCAUUUUAGUAAAUGGCAUCUGAACGGAAAGGUUCUGUUGAUUUAUCCUUUUUUUUUUUUUUUUUUUUUAAUUCUGAAAGGACACUGACAGGCAGGGUUUGGGUCCUGCUUCUCACACACCAGCUGUUCCAUGUUCUCCAAGCAUAUAUUUUUAAAAAAUAUCCUGGAUCACAAAAACCCAACAUGCCAAAACUUUGAGCUGCCAUAGCAGGACCUGCAGUACUGCUGCUAUUUGGGAUCUGGCAGAGCUGAAGAGUGCAAGCUGAAAGAUGAACCUGAACUUGUUUUUGCACCUAGCUGGGGUCUGUGUGACGGGGACACUGGUGAGGCAGGACCUCAGGCUGGGCUGGGAGCAAGCACCAAAUGACAACAGAGAUGUAUGUCUGGGACCCACAGGAGCACCCAGCCAAACAGUCAGCAUUUGUUUUGGCCUUUGAAGUCAGCAGCUGCAGGCUGGAAUGCAUCCAGCAAGGAGAUCCGUGAACCAAGAAGGCAUUUAUGCUUAUGGAGAUCCAAGGAAGGGCUCCUCCCGUCAUCUUGGCAGGGAUCCCACCUCUCUGAACCCCAUCCAAGUCUCAGACAAGCCCAUCCAUCUGCUUUCCAGGACUGCCUGAACACAUUGCCAUGCUCUGCCUUGGAGAUUAUUGGGUGAGAAAUGUUAUGUGCACAGGUGUGCACAGGUGUGCCUGUCCUCGGGAGCAGGGCACCUCAAACGUUGUUGUGGUCCAGGGCUGGGCAGGGAGUCCUCUGAACUGCCCCCAGAGAAGCCCGAAUAGUUAGAUGCGAUGAUGUGGUUGAUUUAGGGUGGUAAG
rnacentral:lncRNA from 1 species